AGUUGCGGGUUGACCCAGCGGUGGACGCCACACGAGUGAGAAUGCAGGCAUGAGUAGCGAAAGAAGGGUGAGAAACCCUUCCGCCGGAUGACCAAGGGUUCCUGGGGCAGGCUAAUCCGCCCAGGGUAAGUCGGGACCUAAGGCGAGGCCGACAGGCGUAGUCGAUGGACAACGGGUUGAUAUUCCCGUACCCGCUUUGGUUCGCCCAUGCUGAGCCCAGGAGUGCUAAGGGC
rnacentral:rRNA from 14 species